rnacentral:sRNA from 1 species
GACCAAUCAAGACGGCCGGCCGAGGUCCCUGGAACCGCUCAGGCGGCUGCGGCGGCUACGGCGGCGCAGGCUAGGGGAUUCGCCGGUCAAGCCUGGAAUCCAGCAGCAGCUACAACUCAGAGACUCCAUCGACCCCAGAGACGUCCUCAACUUCCUUGAGCACCUCCUGCCCACAGGGCCGGUCCUCCGUGUGGGGCCCACCAGAUGCCUGCCAAGGGGACCUCCGUGAUGUGGCCAGAUCAGGGGUGGCCUCUCUCCCACCUGCCAAAUGCCAGCACCAGGAGUCCCUGGGCCGACCGAGACCCCACUCAGCACCCUCGCUGGGCACCUCAAGCCUGAGGGACCCAGAGCCCUCAGGGAGGCUGGGUGAUCUGGGACCCCAGGAGGCACAGGCCCUGAGGUCCAUCCUGGCUCAACAGAGCAAGCUGUCCAAGCCCAGGGUGACCUUCUCUGAGGAGUCUGCAGUUCCAGAGAGGAGCUGGCGCCUCAGGCCAUACCUGGGCUAUGACUGGAUUGCAGGGUCUCUGGACACCAGCUCUUCCAUCACCAGCCAGCCUGAGGCCUUCUUCUCGAAGCUGCAGGAGUUUCGGGAAACCAACAAGGAGGAGUGUAUCUGCAGCCAUCCUGAACCCCAGUUGCUAGGCCUGCGUGAGAGCAGUGGCAGCGGCGUGGAGGAAGACCAUGAAUGCGUGUACUGUUACCGUGUCAACCGGCGCCUGUUCCCGGUGCCUGUGGAUCCCGGUACCCCCUGCCGCCUGUGCAGGACACCGCGAGACCA